rnacentral:lncRNA from 1 species
CCCAAUUGGCCCCUACUUGGGUUAUAGGAUUAACACCUAAUCCUAACCCUAAUUAACGUGCUAACUACAAAUUUAAAGACAUUUUCUAAGCUAUUACAAAGUCCAUAAGUCAAGACUUCUUCCGGCGAGCUUCCGGCGAACUUCCGACGGUCUUCCGAUAAACUCUCGGAAACCAUUCUGCGGACUCCCGACAAGCUCC